CGUGGAGACAGGUGGUGCAUGGCUGUCGUCAGCUCGUGUCGUGAGAUGUUGGGUUAAGUCCCGCAACGAGCGCAACCCUUAUCCUUAGUUGCCAUCAAUUCAGUUGGGCACUUUAAGGAGACUGCCGGUGUCAAACCGGAGGAAGGUGGGGAUGACGUCAAGUCCUCAUGGCCCUUAUGUCCAGGGCUACAUACGUGCUACAAUGGCCGGUACAAAGGGUCGCGAUACCGCGAGGUGGAGCCAAUCCCAAAAAACCGGCCUCAGUUCGGAUAGGAGUCUGCAACUCGACUCCUUGAAGUCGGAAUCGCUAGUAAUCGCGGAUCAGCAUGCCACGGUGAAUACGUUCCCGGGCCUUGUACACACCGCCCGUCACACCACGAAAGUCUGCUGUACUCGAAGUCGCUGAG
rnacentral:rRNA from 1 species